AAAGUUACAGAGCUAAAAGUAAGAUCGAUAACAGAGAGAAAAAAAGGAACAAGAGAAAAUAAACAUAUCUGAAGUCUUAAAGACAGUGAGAUGGCAGAUGUGGAAGAGCCUAUAAUAUUAUUCCAAGAAAAAUCAAGUCUACUUUAGACAAUGAUGAUUUAACUCUCAGGACUCUGUGCACUUCUUUUGGUCUCUAUCAACUACAAGUAAUUAACAAGGAUUCUAAUUUUUUAAGAGGCGAUUUUAUUCUAUUCUACCUUGAGGCAUGAUAUUCCUACGUAGUGUUUUGUCAAAUAGCAUCAAACUUGCCUCAGUCAAUAUUAAAAAAAAACCCCUAAGUUCCUAUGUCUGUAAAAUAUAGGAGUAACUGAAGUCUGGUAGAUAUAUAAAAUACCUAAUUGAUUUGAAAGGAAACUAUAAAAUUUAAUCAGAGUAACAUGUAACAUUAAUUGUCGCUUUUUGCACCAGGGUAUUCUAAUUUGAACCUCUAA
rnacentral:lncRNA from 1 species